rnacentral:rRNA from 1 species
CCCGCUGAACUUAAGCAUAUCAAUAAGCGGAGGAAAAGAAACCAACAGGGAUUGCCCCAGUAACGGCGAGUGAAGCGGCAACAGCUCAAAUUUGAAAUCUGGCCUUCUGGUCCGAAUUGUAAUUUGUAGAGGAUGCUUUUGGUUAGGUACCUUCCGAGUUCCUUGGAACAGGACGCCUUAGAGGGUGAGAGCCCCGUACGGUUGGAUACCGAGCCUCUGUAAAGCUCCUUCGACGAGUCGAGUAGUUUGGGAAUGCUGCUCUAAAUGGGAGGUAAAUUUCUUCUAAAGCUAAAUACCGGCCAGAGACCGAUAGCGCACAAGUAGAGUGAUCGAAAGAUGAAAAGCACUUUGAAAAGAGGGUUAAAUAGUACGUGAAAUUGUUGAAAGGGAAGGGCUUAUGACCAGACCUUUGCCUUGCGGAUCAUCCGGUGUUCUCACCGGUGCACUUCGCUUGGUUUAGGCCAGCAUCGAUUUCGGUAGGGGGAUAAAGACUUUAGUAAUGUGGCUCCUCCGGGAGUGUUAUAGACUAUUGUGUAAUACCUUUACUGGGAUCGAGGACCGCGCUUCGGCUAGGAUGCUGGCAUAAUGGUCAUCAACCACCCGUCUUGAAACACGG